GUGAAGAACGCAGCGAAAUGCGAUAAGUAGUGUGAAUUGCAGAAUUCAGUGAAUCAUCGAAUCUUUGAACGCACAUUGCACCUCUCGGUAUUCCGGGAGGUAUGCCUGUUCGAGCGUCAUUUGUACCCUCAAGCUCUGCUUGGUGUUGGGUGUUUGUUCCGCCUCUGUGUGUGAACUCGCCUCAAAACAAUUGGCAGCCGGCGUACUUGUUUCGGAGCGCAGCACAUUUUGCGAUCCAGAUCAACGUACAGCGGCAUCCAAGAAGCCUUAUUUAACGCUCUUGACCUCGGAUCAGGUAGGGAUACCCGCUGAACUUAAGCAUAUCAAUAAGCGGAGGA
rnacentral:misc_RNA from 1 species